CAUGGCUCAGUGGACACGCUACUAUGAGACCCCAGAGGAGGAGCGAGAGAAACUCUAUAAUGUCAUCAGCCUCGAGUUUAGCCACACCAGGCUGGAGAAUAUGGUGCAGAGGCCCUCCACGGUGGAUUUCAUUGACUGGGUAGACAACAUGUGGCCAAGGCACUUGAAGGAAAGCCAGACUGAAUCAACAAAUGCCAUCUUGGAGAUGCAGUACCCUAAAGUGCAGAAGUAAGUGAUGCGCCCUGCAUCUUCCUCCGUGUGCUGUGGGAGACCAAAGCAAUAGCAAGGAUUGGCUUCUCCCUUACGAGCUUUGCUCUGUGUCUUGAAUGAUUAAAAAGAUGAAUUAUUUAAAGAUGAGACUUUACAGUUCCACAAGGAAGAGUGUAUGUGAGCAUACCAUAGCACACAACCACAUGGUUAAAGGAAAAAAAACUGACAUUUUAGUCAAUACGGUA
rnacentral:sRNA from 1 species